rnacentral:ncRNA from 1 species
GAACUGAAGAGUUUGAUCCUGGCUCAGAUUGAACGCUGGCGGCAUGCCUUACACAUGCAAGUCGAACGGCAGCACGGGGAGGGGCAACCCUCCCUGGUGGCGAGUGGCGAACGGGUGAGUAAUGCAUCGGAACGUGUCCUCUUGUGGGGGAUAACCAGUCGAAAGGCUGGCUAAUACCGCAUGAGCCUGAGAGGGGAAAGCGGGGGAUUCGAAAGAACCUCGCGCGAGUGGAGCGGCCGAUGGCCGAUUAGCUAGUUGGUGGGGUAAAGGCCCACCAAGGCGACGAUCGGUAGCUGGUCUGAGAGGAUGAUCAGCCACACUGGGACUGAGACACGGCCCAGACUCCUACGGGAGGCAGCAGUGGGGA